UUAUCGUUUAUUUGAUAGUACUUACUACUUGGAUACCUGUGGUAAUUCUAGAGCUAAUACAUGCUAAAAACCCCGACUUCGGGAGGGGUGUAUUUAUUAGAUAAAAAACCAAUGCCCCCCGGGGCUACUUGGCGAUUCAUAAUAACUUAACGAAUCGCAUGGCCUUGCGCCGGCGAUGGUUCAUUCAAAUUUCUGCCCUAUCAACUUUCGAUGGUAGGAUAGUGGCCUACCAUGGUGUCUACGGGUAACGGGGAAUUAGGGUUCGAUUCCGGAGAGGGAGCCUGAGAAACGGCUACCACAUCCAAGGAAGGCAGCAGGCGCGCAAAUUACCCAAUCCCGACACGGGGAGGUAGUGACAAUAAAUACUGAUACAGGGCUCUUUCGGGUCUUGUAAUUGGAAUGAGUACAAUUUAAAUCCCUUAACGAGGAACAAUUGGAGGGCAAGUCUGGUGCCAGCAGCCGCGGUAAUUCCAGCUCCAAUAGCGUAUAUUAAAGUUGUUGCAGUUAAAAAGCUCGUAGUUGAAACUUGGGCCUGGCUGGCCGGUCCGCCUCACCGCGUGCACUGGUUUGGCCGGGCCUUUCCUUCUGGGGAACCGCAUGCCCUUAACUGGGUGUGCCGGGGAUUCAGGACUUUUACUUUGAAAAAAUUAGAGUGUUCAAAGCAGGCCUAUGCUCGAAUACAUUAGCAUGGAAUAAUAGAAUAGGACGUGUGGUUCUAUUUUGUUGGUUUCUAGAACCGCCGU
rnacentral:rRNA from 1 species